UUCGGAUUGUAGGCUGCAACUCGCCUACAUGAAGUCGGAAUCGCUAGUAAUCGCGGAUCAGCAUGUCGCGGUGAAUACGUUCCCGGGUCUUGUACACACCGCCCGUCACACCAUGGGAGUUGGUUCUACCCGACGGCCGUGCGCUAACCUUUUGGAGGCAGCGGACCACGGUAGGAUCAGCGACUGGGGUGAAGUCGAAACAAGGUAGCCGUAGGGGAACCUGCGGCUGGAUCAC
rnacentral:rRNA from 13 species